UACGUAGGGGGCUAGCGUUGUCCGGAAUCAUUGGGCGUAAAGCGCGUGUAGGCGGUCCGGUAAGUCCGCUGUGAAAGUCGGGGGCUCAACCCUCGAAUGCCGGUGGAUACUGUCGGGCUAGAGUGCGGAAGAGGCGAGUGCAAUUCCUGGUGUAGCGGUGAAAUGCGCAGAUAUCAGGAGGAACACCAAUUGCGAAGGCAGCUCGCUGGGACGUUACUGACGCUGAGACGCGAAAGCGUGGGGAGCAAACAGG
rnacentral:rRNA from 1 species